UGAGAGAUAGAACAUGAAGCUGACUGAUGUGAAAGGACUAAUCUGUGGAUGUCGUCUCCUCCCAGUCAAAGAGAAUCAAACCUGAACAAACACAGAACAGCAGCAGCUCAGACAGUCAGGAGACGUUAGGAGACAUCGAUGUGGACGUUGAUCCAUACUGCAAAAAUAUCCGUCUGAAAAACAAGUCUAAUCAGGACAAACCACUGAGAGGACGUCAAUUAAAAGUCCAGAUCAACAAUAGUGAACCCAUCACAUACACAUUUGAUCCAUCAAUGGAAGUCAAGGCUGGAAAGGAAGUUACUUUAUGGCGUCCAGGCUUUGCUAGACUCUCUCCUGACACUGGUGACCUGGUGUGGAUGGACCUGAAGCCCUGGGGCCGUGGAGACAGAGUCCAGGUUUCUCUGUAGUGAAAUAGUUCCCAGCUGAACUCCUUCAAUAAAGUUCAGUAAUCCAGCAAACAGCAACAUUAUAGAUGAGAAACAGCACGACUCAGAUCUUCCUGCAGAAACCACACACUGCAGAGAAAGUCUCUGGAAACACUUGGCUCCAUUUUAUUGGAUUAGUCAAGUUUGAUGUGAACACACCAGCUGUGAUUGGCCCACUCAGUAGUAACAUGUUUCUGCUUUAGUUUUGCUGGCUGCUUUUCCACCUGGACAAAUUUCUGAAUGACUAUUCUGGAUCAAUAAAAGUGGAACACAUCAAAGAAAGGUUUAACUGAGGAGGGUCAGAGAUACAGACAUUUGUAUGACUCAUCUUCACAGUUUCAUUCGCAACCAUUGAGGUUUUAAAAAAAAAGACACAGCGCCAACUAUUGUUUGGGUGGUGGUGUUACAGAGCGAGCAGACUGAGGAGGUGCAAGUAGAAAUGACACUGGUUUUGGCUACGUAUGUAGGUUAUGACGUCCACAUGCUGCAGUGCCUUAAAUGAGCCUUAACAUCCCAGUAGUUACACAACUUCAUCAUGUUCAUUCAGUCCUCCUGGUUCUGAUUUAAUCAGCUGAUGAGAGAUUAAGCUAAAAGGUAACAUGGUAAUACAGCUAAAAGUGUCCAAGGGAGUCCUGGCUAACACCAAGACAGAGGACAUUACUGGACAUACAGGCUAACACCAAG